rnacentral:rRNA from 1 species
UACGUAGGUGGCAAGCGUUGUCCGGAUUUAUUGGGUUUAAAGGGUGCGUAGGCGGCUUUGUAAGUCAGUGGUGAAAUAUGGCAGCUUAACUGUCAGGGUGCCAUUGAUACUGCAGAGCUUGAGUACAGAUGAGGUAGGCGGAAUUGACGGUGUAGCGGUGAAAUGCUUAGAUAUCGUCAAGAACACCUAUAGCGAAGGCAGCUUACUAGGCUGUAACUGACGCUGAGGCACGAAAGUGUGGGGAGCAAACAGG